GGGGAUGUUACGUAUUCGACGGGGGCACUUGAGCUUGAUAAGCAGGCCGUGCUAAGCAUCACGUUAAACUGUCGAGGUUAAAAUAACCGGAAACGCUAAUUUAAGAUACGCUGCUUAAUUAAAUAGUAGCAACUCUAUUCAACUAUUGCCCACGUAGUUGACUAGGGUUCAGUGUAGUGGGCUACGCUAAUGCCUGCCUCCUUAGGGCAUUAGAAGAGAUGUUAAGGAUCGCUGAUAAAAAGCCUGGCUAUCGGCGGUUUAUCAGUUAAAAAAAGUAGAUAGUCUAAGCCUGUAGAAAGUCAAGUGGUCGGUGUUUUCGGACGCGGGUUCGACUCCCGCCAUCUCCACUU
rnacentral:tmRNA from 1 species